UUGAACGCUGGCGGCAUGCCUUACACAUGCAGGUCGAACGGUAACGCGGGGCAACCUGGCGACGAGUGGCGAACGGGUGAGUAAUGCAUCGGAACGUGCCCAGUAGUGGGGGAUAGCCCGGCGAAAGCCGGAUUACUACCGCAUACGACCUACGGGUGAAAGCGGGGGACCGUAAGGCCUCGCGCUAUUGGAGCGGCCGAUGUCAGAUUAGGUAGUUGGUGGGGUAAAGGCCUACCAAGCCUACGAUCUGUAGCUGGUCUGAGAGGACGACCAGCCACACUGGGACUGAGACACGGCCCAGACUCCUACGGGAGGCAGCAGUGGGGAAUUUUGGACAAUGGGCGCAAGCCUGAUCCAGCCAUGCCGCGUGCGGGAAGAAGG
rnacentral:rRNA from 1 species